ACGGGAGGCAGCAGUGAGGAAUAUUGCACAAUGGAGGAAACUCUGAUGCAGCAACGCCGCGUGAGCGAUGAAGGUCUUCGGAUCGUAAAGCUCUGUCCUUGGGGACGAUAAUGACGGUACCCAAGGAGGAAGCCCCGGCUAACUACGUGCCAGCAGCCGCGGUAAUACGUAGGGGGCGAGCGUUAUCCGGAAUUAUUGGGCGUAAAGAGUACGUAGGUGGCUAUGUAAGCGAGAGGUGAAAGCCCGGGGCUUAACUCCGGCGAGCCUUUCGAACUGCAUGGCUUGAGUGCAGGAGGGGAAAGUGGAAUUCCUAGUGUAGCGGUGAAAUGCGUAGAUAUUAGGAGGAACACCAGUGGCGAAGGCGACUUUCUGGACUGUAACUGACACUGAGGUACGAAAGCGUGGGGAGCAAACAGGAUUAGAUACCCUGGUA
rnacentral:rRNA from 1 species